UACGUAGGGUGCGAGCGUUGUCCGGAAUUACUGGGCGUAAAGAGCUCGUAGGCGGUUUGUCGCGUCGUCCGUGAAAACUUGGGGCUCAACCCCAAGCUUGCGGGCGAUACGGGCAGACUUGAGUACUGCAGGGAGGACUGGAAUUCCUGGUGUAGCGGUGAAAUGCGCAGAUAUCAGGAGGAACACCGGUGGCGAAGGCGGGUCUCUGGGCAGUAACUGACGCUGAGGAGCGAAAGCGUGGGUAGCAAACAGG
rnacentral:rRNA from 1 species